GAUCAAGCGUCUUAAGUGCAUCUAGUGGAUGCCUUGGCGUGUGCAGGCGAUGAAGGACGUAAUACGCUGCGAUAAGCCUCGGGGAGCUGCGAAUAAGCUUUGAUCCGAGGAUUUCCGAAUGGGGAAACCCGACCGUAAGGUCACCCGCAAGGGAGCUAACCCGGGGAACUGAAACAUCUAAGUACCCGGAGGAAAGGACAUCAAACGAGACUCCGUUAGUAGUGGCGAGCGAACGCGGACCAGGCCAGUGGCCUCGGUGUAAGAACGGGAAGAAGCUGGAAAGCUUCGCCAGAGUGGGUGAUAGCCCCGUACCGGUAGAAAGCAUCGAGGUCCUCGAGUAAGGCGGAACACGUGAAAUUCUGUCUGAACAUGGGUAGACCACUAUCCAAGCCUAAGUACUCGCACACGACCGAUAGUGAACCAGUACCGUGAGGGAAAGGUGAAAAGCACCCCGACGAGGGGAGUGAAAUAGUACCUGAAACUGGAUGCAUACAAACAGUCGGAGCCCGCAAGGGUGACGGCGUACCUCUUGUAUAAUGGGUCAUCGACUUAGUCUGUCUAGCAAGCUUAAGCCGUUAGGUGUAGGCGCAGCGAAAGCGAGUCUGAAUAGGGCGUUAAGUUAGACGGAUUAGACCCGAAACCAAGUGAUCUAGGUAUGAGCAGGCUGAAGGUAAGGUAACACUUACUGGAGGGCCGAACCCACGUCUGUUGAAAAAGACGGGGAUGACUUGUUCCUAGGGGUGAAAGGCCAAUCAAACUUGGAAAUAGCUGGUUCUCCGCGAAAGAUAUUUAGGUAUCGCCUCAGACGAAUACCUCGGGGGUAGAGCACUGGAUGGGCUAGGGGGUCUCACCGAC
rnacentral:rRNA from 1 species